CCGAUCCUAGGAGAGGUCAGAGGUCAGACACUGACAAACGUUUGAAGGCACAGUGUACUUGACCAGUGUAGUGACAGGAGUAGUUACAGGUGUAGUUAUGGGUGUACUUACAGGUGUAGUUAUAGGCGUAGUGUCGGAUGUAGUUACGGGUGUAGUUGUAUGUAGGGAUGUAGUUACAGGUAUAGUGUCAGGUGUAGUUAUAGAUGUAGUUACAUAUGUAGUGAUAGGUGUAGUGUCAGGUGUAGUUACAGGUGUAGUGUCAGUUGUAGUUACAGGUGUAGUGUCAGGUGUAGUGAUGGGUGUAGUGUCGGGUGUAGUUAUAGGUAGUGAUGGGACGAACAACACUGGUGCGUCAGCACUGUGCCGAGCACACAAGAGUGAAACCCCGUAUUGGUGCGUGUAUCACUUUAAGAAAAAAAUCAUGUGACCGAUACAGAAAGUGUGUCGUUUGGAUGUGCUGCGCCAAAUUGUGUUUAAAAGGAAACACUGUAUUGACAUGUAUUGUUGCUGUGUCUGUUUGCCCUCACCUUGUUCAACUUCUGACUUCAUGGAUCGUUCCAGUAAGAAGAAGUUUUCCCCAGUCUGGAAUCAUUUUGAUCUUUUGACGGCAAAUAAGGUGAAGUGUCGGCUCUGCUCCACAGAGCUAUCUUACAUCAAUAAGAGCACUUCAUCAAUGCUGAGGAAUUAUAGAGCUCGGCAUGGCAAUGAAGAAUUGGCAGAUACUCGUGUGAGUACCCCAGGUAUGUUGAAAUUCUAAAAAAUUUGAAUUUCCAAAAAUAGUUUAUUACACACAAAAGGCUUUGUGUGACUCUGUAAUAUUGUUGGUAAAAAUUACAGUCCUUUAAGAAGCUUUAAACUAAAUAUUUCCGUUUGGCUUGCAGUUCCUAACAAGCAAGCAGUGGAUGAGGCUGUGGUCAACAUGAUCAUCAAAGACUGAAAACAUAUAUUUUGUUGUGUUUGUUUGUGUAUUUCUGUUGCAGUUUGUCAUGUGAUAAUAAACUAACAAAGAAUUAUUUCUAAAAUAUUUGUUAGGGCACAAUCUCUGGAAACCUCUGGAUAUGGAGGUUGAGAACAACUCGACCUCGAAUACUACAGUUGAUUCCAUAGUUGAAGUCCAACGCUACCUGGCUGAAACCAACACACCCAGAGCACAAGAUCCGUUACAAUAUUGGAAAAAUAACCAGAAAACAUAUCCACACCUGUAUCAACUCGCACUUAAAUUUUUAUGCACACCAUCCUCAUCUGUACCCUGUGAGAGAGUUUUUUCUAAGGCAGGGGAACUGGUGUCCAAGAAGAGAAAUCGUCUUGGAGCAAAGACACUACAAAAACUUUUGUUCCUCAAUAAAAGUGUAUGAAUGAA